GCUCCUUCAUUUUGAGCCAAAUCAGAUAGGCAUGUAAAAAGAUUUUCUGUUGGUAUAGCUGGCACUCUUGUUUCAGUAGGAGGACCACGCUGGGUAUCCAACUUGAGAGACGUUAAAGUGAAGCAGGCAGAAAUCCGCUUCUGAGAGAGGGCUUCCUGAGAGUGAUGGUGAAAGUUACUGGAAGUAAUGGGAGCAGAAAGGGUUUGUACCAAGGCUCCUGAAAUCACGCAGGAUGAAGCAGAAAUCUACUCUUUGACAAACAUGGAGGGCAAUAUUGGAAUCAAAGGAUGUGAGUUCAAGUCUUGGCUCUUCAAAUUCUAUCAGGCUCGCUCUCAAGUUCUUUUGUGCGGUGAAGUCAAGAAUCCGUACCUGCUCACCAGCAACAAAACCACAGUGAAGGAGCAGAAUGCCUGUCUGACUCACCCUGACAGAUCAGCUAUGGCAGGUCUGCUGUUGUAGAAAAUUCUUCACCCCAGAGGCUUUAUCUCUCCUGCAGGGAAGGCUCAUGAGCAAAUGCUGUCAUUAGCAACCAUGCAUUGUUGAAGACAUAUAGUGAGAAAAUAUGUCAGGUAUUGUUUCAAUGUACCAAUGUUAGUAGAAAAUCCUGAAGAAUUUUCGAGAUAUUAACUGUAGAUUAAAACAACCUUUAACCUAAAUCCUGAGAAUUUC
rnacentral:lncRNA from 1 species